GGACCUGUGGUGAGCGACCUUUUGACCCUGUCAGGCCUGACACUCAUCACAAAGGGUAUCUGUGGGGCUGCUGAGGACCGUGGCAUGCCUGUGGCCUCGACUUGACUCCCGCUCCACACACGAGAGGAUGUCAAAGACUCGGGGCACCUCUGAGCAUCCGAGGAUCGACCAGUGGCUGCAAACCCGAUUCUGAUGGUGUCUGAAAUCAUCCAUGUGAAUCACCACAGUGACAUAUGGACGUGUACUGGUGUGGUCUAUAAGUUCUUCAGCAGAAUGGCGUCUACUGAGCACCACCUAGAUGGAGUAUAAAACACACAACUCUGGCGUAAAAUGGUCCAGUUGGCCUCCAAAGGCAGAUCCAAUAGGAGGACAGUGGUGUGAAACGUAGCCGUGUUGGGUUUCACAGGUGCCUGAUGGGAGCAGACCAGGUGUCCGUGCUUGUGGCAGGGUCCCGCUCCUUUGUCCGAUGCUGUCCACCGUGGGAGACAUCAACAGAGCAACAGAGAUACGCAUGGCCAUUCAGUAAGCCUCUCACACACACACACUGACACACAUUGACUCGCACUCACACACACAUACAAGGUUUCACACAA